rnacentral:rRNA from 1 species
CGCGUAGGUGGUUCUGUAUGUCUAUCGUGAAAGCGUACGGCUCAACCGUAUUUAGUCGGUAGAAACUGCAGGACUUGAGGCUGGGAGGGGCUGGUGGAAUUCCCUGUGUAGCGGUGAAAUGCGUAGAGAUGGGGGAGAACACUCGUGGCGAAGGCGGCCAGCUAGACCAGUUCUGACACUGAGGCGCGACAGCGUGGGGAGCAAACA